rnacentral:rRNA from 1 species
GACGAACGCUGGCGGCGUGCUUAACACAUGCAAGUCGAACGGAAAGGCCCUGCUUUUGUGGGGUGCUCGAGUGGCGAACGGGUGAGUAACACGUGAGUAACCUGCCCUUGACUUUGGGAUAACUUCAGGAAACUGGGGCUAAUACCGGAUAGGAGCUCCUGCUGCAUGGUGGGGGUUGGAAAGUUUCGGCGGUUGGGGAUGGACUCGCGGCUUAUCAGCUUGUUGGUGGGGUAGUGGCUUACCAAGGCUUUGACGGGUAGCCGGCCUGAGAGGGUGACCGGCCACAUUGGGACUGAGGUACGGCGCAGACUCCUACGGGCGGCAGCAGUGGGGAAUAUUGCACAAUGGGCGGAAGCCUGAUGCAGCAACGCCGCGUGCGGGAUGACGGCCUUCGGGUUGUAAACCGCUUUCGCCUGUGACGAAGCGUGAGUGACGGUAAUGGGUAAAGAAGCACCGGCUAACUACGUG